rnacentral:rRNA from 1 species
UACGUAGGGCGCAAGCGUUAUCCGGAAUUAUUGGGCGUAAAGAGCUCAUAGGCGGUUUGUCGCGUCUGCUGUGAAAGACCGGGGCUCAACUCCGGUUCUGCAGUGGGUACGGGCAGACUAGAGUGAUGUAGGGGAGACUGGAAUUCCUGGUGUAGCGGUGAAAUGCGCAGAUAUCAGGAGGAACACCGAUGGCGAAGGCAGGUCUCUGGGCAUUAACUGACGCUGAGGAGCGAAAGCAUGGGGAGCGAACAGG